AGAGUGCGCACCGUGGCACCGCGGCACCGCGGGAGGGGGAGGAAGAAACUUCAGCGCAUGGGUGACGCAUUCCUCACGCAGUGACACGGCACUAUUAACACAUUUUAUUUCGUUGCCAGAGCUAGGUCGUUGUUGCCGGUGAAAGAGCAAAAAAAGAUACUCGGGCGCAUUUCUUUCGGUGUGAGUCACGAGUCUGUCUCUUGAACAAUCGCAUUCCAGAAACCGCGACACCAUGGACAGCCUGGAAAAGCAGCUAAUCUGUCCGAUCUGCCUCGAGAUGUUCACCAAGCCGGUGGUGAUCUUACCCUGUCAACACAACCUCUGCCGGAAAUGUGCCAAUGACAUAUUUCAGGCCUCCAAUCCCUAUUUGCCAACGCGUGGGGGUUCUACAGUUAGUUCUGGUGGCCGGUUCCGCUGCCCCUCCUGCAGACACGAAGUGGUUCUAGAUCGGCAUGGUGUUUAUGGACUGCAACGGAACCUGCUAGUGGAAAACAUAAUCGACAUGUUCAAACAGGAGACAAUCAGUAAAAACAAUAAAGAAGAGCCACAGCAGAAACCAGCUGUAAUGGCGUGCGAGGUACACGAGGAUGAGAAGAUUAAUAUCUAUUGUGUGUCCUGUUCUGUUCCCACUUGCUCCCUGUGCAAAGUGUUUGGUGCUCAUCAGAACUGUGAAGUUGCACCACUCAGUACUGUCUACGAGAGCCAGAAGACAGAGUUGUCAGAGGGUGUUGCUAUGCUAGUGGGAAACAAUGACAGAAUUCAGGCCAUCAUCAGCCUGCUGGAGGAGAGCUGCAGAACAGUGGAGGAGAAUGGGCGCAAGCAGAAAUCGCAUGUGUGCGAAUCAUUUGAUCACCUGUAUGCAUUGCUGGAAGAUAGGAAAGGAGAGCUGACACUGAAAAUCAGCUCUGAACAGCAGGAGAAACUCGAUUACAUUAAAGGCCUACAGCACAGGUACACAGAGCACCUGGACAAGAGUGCAAAGCUGGUAGAGACAGGAAUCCAAACCAUGGAGGAGCCAGAGAUGGCCAUCUUCCUGCAGAAUGCAAAGCCUCUACUACAGAAGUUAGCAGAGGGCAGGAACACAUCUUACUUGGAGAAGCUGGAGCGUGGCUAUGAAAAUAUGGAUCAUUUUACUGUCAGUUUUGAGCAUGAGAGGAGAGCCAUCCUUAACAUUGACUUUACCAGAGAUGAUGAUGAAGCUGGUGAUAAUCAUGAUGAGGAGGAUCAUGAAGAUGAAGUGGUUAAUGAUGCACGUGUCAGUGGCCGGACUCAGGAGUCCGGAUUAAAGACCUCCCCUGUCAAGCAAAGCCCUAUCCUGACUCCAGACUCCCUACCAGUUGUGGACAGCGCAUCUCAACUGAUUACAGGUCCAAGCUCUGCCCAAACACUGGACUCCAGUUCAGCACAAAACACACCACCAACCACUUCCACUCCUGCCCAAACAACCACCACCAGUAUAUCACAGAAUACAUCCUCAGUUACACCUACUCCAAGCACAGCCCCCAGCGCACCAGAAAAUACAGCCACAGAGGUUCAGAAGUAAUUGGACAACUGAAUGAUAAGCAGUUUCAUGGCCAGCUGUGGCCUGUUCCUCCUUAUUUCAUGUCAAAUGAAGGACAUAAAAGGUCUGGAGUUGAUUCCAAGUAUUGAGUUUGCAUUUGGUAGCUGUUCAUGGUAACUCUCACUAUGUGGUCCACAGAGGUGUCAAUGCAAGUGUAGGAGGCCAUCAUUAGACUGAAAAAACAAAACAGACCUAUCAGAGAGAUAGCAGAAACUUUAGGACUGCCAAAUCAACAAUUUGGUACAUUCUUAAAAAGAAGGAAUACACUGGUGAGCUCAGCAGCACUGAAAAGCCUGGAAGACCACAGAAGACAACUAAAGUAGAUGAUCACAGAAUUCUUUACUUGGUGAAGAAAAACCCCUCAAACUUCUAGCCAAGACAAGAGCACUCUUGAGGAGGGGUCCACCAACCCCAGUGCAGCAAUUACCCCUCAAAGCUCAGAUGGUCUUCCACGCCAUGUUUUCUCCUUUUCCUGGCUCAAUACACCCAAGUAAACUUAAAGUUUCUCCCAUAUUAUGUUUGUUUACCAG